rnacentral:rRNA from 1 species
UACGGAGGGUGCGAGCGUUAAUCGGAAUUACUGGGCGUAAAGCGCGCGUAGGCGGCGAUGUAAGUCAGGUGUGAAAGCCCUCGGCUCAACCGGGGAAUUGCACUUGAUACUGCAUUGCUUGAGUAUCGGAGAGGGUGGCGGAAUUCCAGGUGUAGGAGUGAAAUCCGUAGAUAUCUGGAGGAACACCAGUGGCGAAGGCGGCCACCUGGACGAUUACUGACGCUGAGGUGCGAAAGCGUGGGGAGCAAACAGG